UGACAGUUGACACCUCUCCUACACAAGUAAACAUGCAGAUUAUAUUAUUGGAAGAUAAAUACAAAGGCAGUCUCUUGAUCAUUGAGCUUCAUGUCAAGGAAUCAGCAGACAGGUCAAAAUAAGCUGAACUCAUCAGUGCUUAGACCCAUGUGUGUAUUUUUAGAGAACAUGUAUCUGUGCAGUCCUAUAUAUCUACCCUCUUGAGUUCUUGAUCUCCUAAACUUUAUUGUACCUAUAGUCUAUAUAUAUUGAUAGAGAAGUAGCAUGAGGUUUAGUGUUUUCUCUUUUGUUUUGAUCUUUUUUUUGGGAGCUCUGGUUAUGGUUCAUGGCAAUGGUAGGGCAAAUGGAAGGCCACUCGAAGCUUCUCAUAGUGCUCUUAAUGUGGUGAAGGCAGGGAAAGCUAAUGAGUUAUGUGGGAAAGAGAGCACUACUGAGUGCAAAGGAAAGCACAAAAGGGAUGCAAGGGAAGAGGAAGCCAGACAUGUAUUCGAGAACCAGGACUACAUUUACACUCAAUCCAUCCCUUAGCUUUAGUCAUGUAGAUUCAUCUCGAAUAAUAUAAAUCAAUAUUAGUUGCUACUUAUGAUCCCCAAGUCGAUUGAAAUCUCCCAGAUUCGUUAUCCAUCAUCAAGAGAUCGAAUUUUUUUAGAAA